rnacentral:rRNA from 1 species
GUAGGGAAUAUUGCGCAAUGGGGGAAACCCUGACGCAGCGACGCCGCGUGAGUGAUGAAGGCCUUCGGGUCGUAAAGCUCUGUUGCAGGGGAAUAAAAAAAUGAAGGUACCCUGUGAGGAAGGAUCGGCUAACUUCGUGCCAGCAGCCGCGGUAAGACGAGGGAUCCUAGCGUUGCUCGGAAUCAUUGGGCGUAAAGAGGGCGUAGGUGGCUUGGUAAGUCAGGUGUGAAAGCCCAGGGCUCAACCCUGGAAGUGCAUUUGAUACUGCUGAGCUUGAGUGUCGGAGAUGUUACCGGAAUACCUGGUGUAGUGGUGAAAUACGUAGAUAUCAGGUGGAACACCGGAGGCGAAGGCGGGUAACUGGACGAACACUGACACUGAGGCCCGAAAGCGUGGGGAUCAAACAGGAUUAGAAACCCUGGUAGUCC